rnacentral:rRNA from 1 species
UACGUAGGUGGCAAGCGUUGUCCGGAAUUACUGGGUGUAAAGGGCGUGUAGGCGGGAUAGCAAGUCAGAUGUGAAAUUCCGGGGCUUAACCCCGGCACUGCAUCUGAAACUGUUAUUCUUGAGUGUCGGAGAGGAAAGUGGAAUUCCCAGUGUAGCGGUGAAAUGCGUAGAGAUUGGGAGGAACACCAGUGGCGAAGGCGGCUUUCUGGACGAUAACUGACGCUGAGGCGCGAAAGCGUGGGGAGCAAACAGG